AACGUGCAGCGGCUUGUCUGAGCUUCAGAGUCCCUGAAAUUUGUAUAAUGUUCCUUAGAUAAAAUCCCCCUGAAAAACAGAAGAACCAGAGGCUCACCAUGCAACAUCUCAAGACCAAAAGAGCACAGAGGCUCUGCUGAGCUCCAGAGCAUGAGUCCCUUAAAGCUUUUUUUCAUGCUCCAGAGAUCCAAUCCACUUUCCCCUACAGGGUGGAAGAACCAGGACGUUCUCUUACACUAAGGCAUUUUGGCAAUGUCUUUGGCAGCGCAGUUUGCAGGCACUCUGGAGGUCUUGCUUUUGAAUCGUUUCGCAGUGAUAUUUAUGUAGCACAAGCAAUGAAAACGAUGACAAGCAUCACGAGGUUCUCCUUCUUUCUCCUCUUUUCUUUCUCUUUCCAUGCACACUCACACACAAAUAGAUUAGAACGCAACACACAUUUAGAUUAGAUGAGAAUAAAAGGGCACGUUUUUAUAGUUUCUUAUAUUUGUAUAGCACCAGCACACCUACAAACCAUGCUGAACCUGCUGAAAUCAUGACUCUCCAUCUUCACCGUCCAUUACAAAUGUGUAUUCUGCUGAAAUCCAAUGAGAAAAGAGCAGCAAUAAGGCUUGGAGGAAUUGAUCCUUUAAACAAAUAAAGCAGGACCUAUGCUCCAAACCAAAACUUCUUGCAAAGGAGGUACAGUAUCACACCAGAGGCCAUAAAUAGAAACUGAAUGAAGUUGCUGUCAAACCGAAUGUAAAUGACAUGAUUUCACCACAGUGACACAAGACAUGUCUGACUCACGGAUCAUGUUGAUAGACUGUAGGAAGAACCAGCCCCAGAAUCCCCAUUAUACUGUGUGACUCCGCUUUUGACUUUCCAUUGUGUAAUCCCAUACUUCAGCUUCUGCUAAUAAUAAUAAUAAUAAUAAUAAUAAUAAUAAUAAUAAUAAUAAUAAAACCAAUAAUAA